CGAGGGAGGAGAACUCGAUGGUGGAGUGGUUGACGGCGGGGAUGGAGUCGAAGGAGUAGACGGUGGAGGAGCAGACGGAGUCGACGGAGGUGGCGAAGAAGGUGUCGCCGGCGGAGGAGCGGAGGGAGUCGCUGGUGGCGGAGAUGACGGAGGUGAAGGUGGAGGUGACGACGGAGUCGCAGGAGGAGGCGCGGAAGGUGUGGCGGGCGGUGGUGCCGACGGGGUGGACGGCGGAGGCGCGGUGCUGUUGGACGGCGGCGAAGACGGCGCUGGGGC
rnacentral:lncRNA from 1 species